rnacentral:lncRNA from 1 species
AUGACAACUGCAGGUAAAAAGAAGAAAGUUGUCAUGGGAGAACUGCUCAACAACGCUGAACCAACAGCAAGGCGUGUCAUCACCGCCUACAACCCGGACCAGAAGUACAAAGUCAACCUGAAGAACUUGAAAGCAUGCAAGGCUGCCCCGCUAGAAGCAUGUGCCAAGCUACUCGGGUUAGCUCCUCGGGACGAAGACAAUAAGAAGCUCUACCAGAACCUAGGUAUUCUGAGCGACCGCAUCAUUCUUAAGAUCAAAGCUCUGUUCGAGAUUGAAUGCGACGACUGCAAGGAGACUUACAGGAAUAAACUAGGAGACACGCCCCCUCUCCACUGUAGGCUGUGCCUACAAGGCUCCCACAGCUGCAAAGCUAUUCAGAAAAAGUUGGAGGUAUACAAGCCAAUAGUCGAUGCCGGAGACACCCCAACUGGAAUAGUAUGGCUCUGCCACGAGUGCCUUAAGAAGAAGCAUCUCGACUUAAUGAGGCCCACUAACAACAAAGAAAAGCCAAAUGAAGUUGAGAAAGAAGGAGAAGAAGAAGAAGAAGAAGAGAAAGCAGGGGAAGAAGAAGAAGAAGAGGAAGAAGAAGAACGGGUGAGUCUCAGACGUGGACGGGAAGGCCAGGAAGACCGCCCUAGAAACCCACCAGCCCCCAAAGACACGCGCCCCAACGCAGGUAAAGACAACAUCUGUGAAGACUACAAGAGACGGAAAUGCCUCCACGGCCGUACUGGAGAACUACUGGUCAACGGCGAGCGAUGUAGUAAAAACCAUCCUCCCCGAUGCCGUAGAUUCUGCAACUUCGGACCCAACAACAGAGAGGGCUGUAACAGAGGCCAGCAAUGCUGGUACUGGCACCCUCGUCUUUGCAGAGAUUCGGUAAAGAACCAGCUCUGUGUCAAAGAGGAUUGUACCUUCUUCCAUAUGAAAGGUACAAUGCGCUAUAGCGCCCCCAGGGAACACCGCAGAAGAGACGAAGAAGAAGAACCUGCACCACGCAUUCCGCAACGGGAAAGGAGGAGCAGCUUCAGAAGAGAAUCGGUCCAGGGGAACGAAAACCCCAACGCCCGUCAAUCCCCAGUCUUUUUUAUUGCGAAUGAUAGAGAACCUGAAAGACGGGAUAUUCACCCGCAUGGAAGACCAGAUGUCAGAGCCAGUCUCCCCCAGAUGGUUCGAGACCUGGUACACAACAACCAGCUGCCCCAGCAACCACCAGCCCCGAUGCACCCCUUCAACACCCAACAACUCCCUCCAAUGAUGCCCCACCACAUGAUGGCACACAUGAUGCCCCACCGGCUGUAUCAAGCCUCUUCCUAUUAA